rnacentral:misc_RNA from 1 species
GGCCUUUUCAAUAAGCUUUAUGCGCGGACCAUGAAGAGGAGAUCCUUUACUUGCCAUUGGAUUUUUUCCAAGUUCCCAUGAUUCUUUCCAUAAAAGAAAAGCCACAUCUUGAAGCUGCCCAGUUGAUAGGAAGAAGUCCUUCAAGAAUUCAUGUUUAUAACUCCGUGCAUAGGUUAUAAACAAAUCACGUGCAAAAGAUCGCGCUUGUAUCGUUCCGAAAAACUCUAAGGCUG